GUAGGUGAACCUGCGGAAGGAUCAUUAACACGAACUUUUUUUUCCCUGCCUCCUCCCCUCAAAAGGAGAGGCGGAAAAAAAAAUCCUAUCCACCCCUUUUGAACGAACCAGGAUUAGGGAUUCCUCUGGAACCCUACCCUUUUCUCCUCUUUAUCCCAACCUUUUUUUACCCCAUAUACCACAUGCGAUAGACUGAUAUGAAGUCAAAAUCCGCUCUCGAAGCGUGUUUUGAAUUGAAACAAUCAAUUGA
rnacentral:misc_RNA from 1 species